AACCACCUGAGUUGGGUAUGAUUACCUGCUGAACUUAAGCAUAUCAGUAAGCAGAGGAAAAGAAACAAACAUGGAUUCCCUGAGUAACUGCGAGUGAAACGGGAAGAGCCCAGCGCUAAAGGUUGUUGGUUUCGGCUAAUGACCGGUGUAGCGUAUAGAACAUUCGUUCGGCUUGUCCAGGCUGGUUUAAGUCUCGUUGGAACGCGGCGGCUUAGACGGUUUACCCCGGUCAACCUGGCUGGACUUGUUUGAGUGUUUGUUCUGGGAGUCGGGUUGUUUGGAAACGCAGCCCAAAGUUGGUGGUAAACUUCACCUAAGGCUAAAUACGACCGCGAGACCGAUAGAAAACAAGUACCGUGAGGAAAGU
rnacentral:rRNA from 1 species